ensembl:lncRNA
GUGCUUUGGAGGUGAGAUUAGCUGAAGUGCUGAACUAGCUUGUGGUCAGUUGGAAUGAAAAGCAAGGAUGGAUUCCAGAAACAUGCUAAAAUGAUGGAGUGCAAUGGGGAAAAGCAUUGCCAAGCUCGCCUAACAGAAGAGUAAACUGAAGAAGAAAAAUUCCAGUGUUUGGUCCUCCAGUAGCACAUGAAAGGUAAAAGACCAAAGGAAAGUGACUGAAUGUAUCUCCCUUCAACUCCAAGUCAUACAGAGAUUCAACUUCUCUCUUCAAAAGAGCUGCCGCCAUGCUGUCAAAGUGCCUGUGAGAGGGAAUAUGACAGAGAACUGCAUUGUUCUAGGAGCUAAGAACAGCACCUGGUUGAUGGCCAGCUAGAAAACAUGGUCCCCCAAUGCUACAACCACUAGGAAACAGAAUUCUGCCAAUAAUCUUAUGAGCUUGGAAGAGAACCUUGAGUUCCAGAAAGGAGUGCACCUCAUGCGAAUCUUGACUACAGCCUUGUGAGACCUUGAGCAGAGGGCCCAGCUAAGUUGUGCCCAGAGUCCUGACCCAUGGAAACUGAGAAAAGAAAUGCAUGUGACUUCAAG